rnacentral:lncRNA from 1 species
UCUUGACUGUCGAGUGCUCCAUGUCCCCUGUGAGAAAAGGAGAUGUUGCUGCAGUCACAUUUUGGUUUUUCUUUUCUAGGCUCAAAUCCCCAGUCACUAAUAUGUCCCUUGCAUUCCCCUAUUUUUCAAAAUGCUGUGAAGCAUAUGCUGGUCACUGGAUUUUUUGGUGGCUUAGACUCUAUCAUCCACCUCAGUCUUAACCACAAUGCAGAUUUCACCAGUCCAGCACACACUUAACAGGCUCUUUUUUGUUAUUAGCUCACCUGGAUUUUGCCAUGGAUGGCCAGCUGAUGGCUUUGAUUGGUGCUGUGUCUUUGUUUUUGGUAUGGACUUAAUUUCUGCAAGGUACUCGAAGUAAGCAUGCACAUCUUGCUUUUUGUACAGAGUCAGUUCAGCAAAGAGAUGAGCCAUGCGGAUAGAAGGACCGAGCUGGCAGCAAAACCUGACUGUAUGAGCUGACCCUGUUCGGUGCAAACAGCCCAUACUGGUGGGAUGGCUGGAGGCACCCCAAGCGUGCUGCACUGGUGCAGUGGGGUUGCAUUGCCAGAACGCUGGAUGCAGAGCUGGGAGAAAAGCAGAGGAGCUGCCAGAACUGCCCGGAUGUACGGUGUGUGCACAGAGGAAACAUGAGCCAUUGCACCAGCUAUUUGGCAGUUGAGGAGUACACCGGGCCUUCUCCAAAACGAUAAUUACCUGGGAUCUCUGCUCUACUCUCCAUCCCAUUAGAAAAGUGAGGAUGAAAGGUCCAAAGAGAAUGUGAACAGCAGAUGAGCUUGUGCUCAAUAUGGACAGGUGUGCAUCCUUGGGCAGAGCGAUUGCAGAAGCAUCCCUGCCUCCCAGCCAGAGGAGUGCAUCGACAGCAAUGCGGAAAGAGGGUGUUGGGACUCCCAUCCAUCCUUCCCUUAUCCAUAGCCUACACACGAGCCCAGACAGCCCGAGCACAGCUUCCCAGGAGGCAAACCGAAGCCUUGCUGCCUGAAUCACCGCAGCCGAUGACCAGACCACGGCCCCAGCGCUCAGGACGGGCGUCUCCAGCUCCGCCAGGGCCAGUGGGACCACUGCAUCCAUAACUCCUCCCUGUGCAAGCAGUCGUUGCACAACCUGGCCCUUCCAUUAGGAAGUGAGCCAUCCUAACGAACAACUGACCAUGAACAUCCUAGACGCAAUUUCUACACAAUUGUUGCUAUUUUAUCAUCGGUUCUUACGUUUUUGCGGCUGUUCCUGCUUUAGAAAAAAAAAAAGGAGGAAACAAAGUGAGCUCUUUUAUGAAUUGCUUUUCUUAGUAAUUUAUGAUUAAUGGGGUAAAUCUUGGAAUCCCUACUCAGUUUUCACUUUUUGUAACCCAAGGCUUCUGUUUAUUCAUGUUUUGUAACAGAACUGUGAAGUAUUUCCUUUUAGCCCAAGGCACCUAAUCAGGAUUAGGCCUGGAGCAGAAUAUCUUACAUUCCUGCGUUCCAAGAGUACCUUGAUGUGGAAUUAUCUUUUGUCAACCACAGACUGAAUAUUCAUUUACACCACUUUUUUUUUUCUUCUUCUUCUUUUUUUAAUGUAUUUUAUGGCCUAUUUGAUCAACUGAUUCUGAAUGGAUCUAUUCUCAGCUCUGCAUUUUGUGGAUGUGAGUCUUACUAACAUUUUAGCUGCAAGUUGAUCGUGUUGAAAGUGGGAGAAGAAUUUGGUUUGUGAAGCUAUCACUCUGUGGGUCUGGGUGCCAUUCACUGCAGUGUGGUCUGUGUAGGGGUGUGCUGCUGCAUGGCAUACAGGUUCUGGGUCUCAGUUCUACAGGAGCUCAGCCUCAAGCAACUCAUACUUAGUUCCAGGUUCACGCAGCAUCUGCUGUGCAGCAGUGACCGUAUCUCCUCCUACCUGUUGGCACUUCAUCUUGCUCUGUGGACUGACAAGCACUGCAAUCUUUACAAGAAGCUUUGCUUUUUUUCCCAAAUCCUGGCUCUUCUGAAACAGCAUCUGAUUUGCAGCAGCUUGAAGUAACAGUCUGUCCUUGUGUCUCCAGUGGGUGAAGAUGAGUGACUUGGAGGGAGACAGAACCAAAUGGAGGCGGUGUCUGUCCAGGAUGCUGCUUUUACUCAAUGCCUCAUUAUCAAAGCCAAACUGAAAUGAAGAGCUUUUUUGCAAUUACAAUAAUAGGCAGCUUUAUUUAAGUAAAAAUUGCUUUAACUGAAAGUGCCCUGAUGUGGGAUGAGGUUUUUUCUUGGUUCUGUCUGGUGUUUAGAAAGGUCUCUGUAGCUUUGACUCACCUAUUUUAAUUUUUAAAAGGUUUAUGUCUAGUUACAGCACAGACGUAUUAUUACACAUCAAGGUCUUAGUCAUUGUGUUCCCUUGUGUGUGCUUUACUCAUUUAGAUUUAUCUGAGUGGAGGGAGAGAGCCUGGAGGGAGUGGGAAGAGAAGGGUAAGCAGAUUGAAGGAAGGGUCCCACUUACCUUUGGGAACAGCUGGCCUUUAUUUUUUUUUGUUAUUAUUUUUGUCUGACUGACUAAAGAAUGAUGCUUCUGUGAAAGAAUGAGAAGUCAAGAAAAACACUUUUUUCUAAGGCAACUUUCUGAGUUGUACACUGUACUGGAGAAUCCCAUUGAGUUGUAAUGUCAGAUCUCACCUCUCCACAUAACUUUUAUAUUUACAGUACAUUAUUUGCUUUUAUUUUUAUACAAAGGGAUUACUUGUUCCUUCUUUAUUAUUAUUAUUUUUCCUUUUCCGUUAGUGUGGUGUGAUGUACUCAGAGAGCUGGACUGUUACAGUAGUGCUUGGCAGACCUUCCUCAAGAACUGAGCAAAACUUUGGCCUUUGCUUUUCCAAAAUCAAACUCUGCAGCAGGAGUGUGUAGGUCAGGCUUAUCUCCCACCCAUCAGCUUGGUUCUGUGGGGUUCAGCCCUCACUCUGCUCUGCUCCAUCACUCUUACUCCCCACCCUUCCUGCUCCAUCUGUGGUCUGCUGAGCCACACAAGAGAAUCAGGACACCCAGACCUCCUCUUGACCCCAUGCAGGACUCUGUGUGCAGCGUGAGUCACUUCACCAGGCAAGGAAGUUUGGCCUCGUUUUGCCUGGAUAUUGGGCAAAUUGCAUCACCGGGCUCCUGACGGGACAGCUGUGGUCUCUGGGUCUUCCUGGCCUGGUGAGGGAAGCAAUGAGCUGGCACAGAGGUGAGGUGAUGCUGCCCAGCAGGAAUGGCCAUUGCAGCCCCCAAGGCAGCCUGGGAAUGGUGUGGCUCCCCUUCAUUACGUCUUCAGGCAGGGGCUAAUUAGUGAGUGUAAAAAAGAGGAUUACUAAAGAAUGCCAACACGUCAGGAGAACUUCUGUGAGAUGAAGCAAGCACAUUAUGAAGAGGAAAAGGAUUGGGUGCGUACAGGGAAAACAGGGAAGGACACGUCUGUAAAUUCAUACAAAGAAAGGAAGCCAAUUACUUCUCAGCCUGUCCUGAACGCAGCUCUGUUUGCUUGUUGUUGCUUUUACCAACAGGGAAGUCAGCCUUUUAAAUCUCUCUGGCUGCGCAGGUGGUAGUGUAAGUAGCAUAAAACAGAACUUGUCAAAUCCAGGAAUCUGGCUUGUGGAGAGCAAAUCCCAGAAUGAGAGGAAAAAAAAAAACCAACAAAAAAACGUCAACCUCAAAACAAAACAAAAACACGAUACCUAAACCAGACUUCCACUUCUGGGAUCAGAUCAAAACAACAAAAAGCCCAGAAAGAUUAAACUAAGCUCAGCUCAAAUUAGUUUAUUGUGUAGCAUGUUUCUCGAGGCAGAAGAGUUUACUUUGGAAUUAAAGCACACACACAAAACAUAGCCCUCAACUGGACGUUCGGCGUGCUAAUAGUUUGCAGAGGAGUUCAGGGAAGUUGACUCUAAAAAACAGAUGGGUGUCGAGAGGCACCGUUGAGGUCUCCGCAUUCCUCUCCGCGUAUUGACAUGGGGUUGUUG